UACGUAGGGUGCAAGCGUUUGUCCGGAAUUAUUGGGCGUAAAGAGCUCGUAGGCGGUGUGUCGCGUCGGCCGUGAAAACCCGCAGCUUAACUGUGGGCUUGCAGCCGAUACGGGCAGGCUUGAGUUCGGUAGGGGAGACUGGAAUUCCUGGUGUAGCGGUGAAAUGCGCAGAUAUCAGGAGGAACACCGGUGGCGAAGGCGGGUCUCUGGACAGUUCCUGACACUGAGGCACGAAGGCCAGGGGAGCAAACGGG
rnacentral:rRNA from 1 species